AUCGAACGCUGGCGGCAGGCCUAACACAUGCAAGUCGAGCGAGCGGCGGACGGGUGAGUAAUGUCUGGGAAACUGCCUGAAGGAGGGGGAUAACUACUGGAAAAGGUAGCUAAUAACGCAUACCAUCAGAUGUGCCAAGAGGGGAGUAGCUAGUAGGUGGGGUAAUGGCGCACCUAGGCGACGAUCCCUAGCUGGUCUGAGAGGAUGACCAGCAACACUGGGACUGAGACACGGUCCAGACUCCUACGGGAGGCAGCAGGGGGGAAUCUUGCACAAUGGGCGAAAGCCUGAUGCAGCCAUGCCGCGUGUGUGAAGAAGGCCUUCGGGGUGUAAAGCACUUUCGGCGGGGAGGCGUUACCCGCAGAAGAAGCACCGGCUAACUCCGUGCCAGCAGCCGCGGUAAUAC
rnacentral:rRNA from 1 species